GUGCUGUGUGUCAUUCCAGACAUCAUCCACUUGUGGGGGGGGGGAGCACAAAACAAUAUUCAGGUGACUAUCUUUAAAACGAUAUAUCUGACAGUGAAUUACACAAUGUAUAUCUGUCUGCAGGUGAUCUUGACAUCCAAAUGCUUUGUAGGUGGUUUACUUUAAAAACCUGUGCCAUUUGGUGCUCCCACCGUUUUAAAGAUUGUCU